rnacentral:rRNA from 1 species
AGAACGAACGCUGGCGGCAGGCUUAACACAUGCAAGUCGAACGGGCGUAGCAAUACGUCAGUGGCAGACGGGUGAGUAACACGUGGGAACCUUCCUAGGGGUACGGAACAACUCAGGGAAACUUGAGCUAAUACCGUAUACGUCCGUAAGGAGAAAGAUUCAUCGCCCCUAGACGGGCCCGCGUCGGAUUAGGUAGUUGGUGGGGUAACGGCCUACCAAGCCUACGAUCCGUAGCUGAUCUGAGAGGAUGAUCAGCCACACUGGGACUGAGACGACGGCCCAGACCGUCCUACGGGAGCAGCAGGUGGGAAUCGUGGACAAGUGGGCGCGAAGCCGU